AGUGCCGGGAGGAUGGAGAAGCGGCGGCUUCCUUGACGUCUUGGCGGAAGGGAGAGAGGGAAACCCCACGGAAAAGCUGAGGCUGCCCCCACCCCAGGAUGGAUGAGGCCACGCCUGGGACCAAAGCUCCCGCGUGUGAGGGGGAAGACAUCGCUGUCUGGGGUGUGAGCAUGUGAGUGUGAAUGUACCUCCAUGUGCCUGUCUGAGAUUGGGGGAACCCCAGGACGUAGUCUUCUUAUCCUAAUCACAGCAAACCGCUCAGGCAGUGAAGAGAUAGAUACAGACUGUACCAGACUGACCCCUGCCACCGUUUCCCCUGGAAUUUUUUUGAUCCUAGAGUUCGUCAAACAAGUUAGCAGCAGUUAUGAGUGACUGAAGCCCCAAGUGGGUGGGCAAAGGUCUCUAAGGCAACUGUACCCUCCAGGGCAUGAUCCAGUGCCCAGAUUUCUGCAACCAAGGCAAAACAAACAAACAAACAAAAAGACAUAGUCUGGGGCUUCCUGGCCUGGAAUAGUCAAGGAUGGGAAUUGGGAAGAAGUAUCUAGUCCUUUUCUUUUUUCACCCAAGUGUGUCCAGAGCCUGGAGGUCCAGGCAAGUGCACGUGGGAGUGAGAUUUCAGUUAGACUCUGAAAAUUCUGGAAGGUCUCUGGCAGACACAAGGGAGGUAUUGGGAAGAGAACAUUCUGACUUGAGGGUUCAGCAAUUCAGAGGCCUGGUGAUGACAGUGCCUAGUCACCAGACUGGCGGGAGUGAGGACUCCAUGAAGGGGAGGACAGUUGGUUGAAUCCAAGUAUAUGACAUUGUGCAUGGAACCAAAUGUUUCAUCUUUGUUGUGGGCACCAGAGAGCAGCUGUGCCUUUUGAGGAGACAGCAGUGCCCAGAGGGACAUUCCAGGCCAGUUGGGCAGGCAGGGUGGGUGGAUGUGAAGCAGGGAGAUAGGAGGUGAAUGGGACAUUGGAUCAGGGCAGGGCUGUGAGUCCCUGUGGUCUUGAUCAAUUCCCUGUCCAUUGUUACUGAAGCUCAGAGGCUGGCCUACUUGGGGCUCUUGUCUCUGUAAGCAUUCUUUGAUCAUGUCUGGUGAGAGGUCUCGGGCUUCCUCUCUUUGAUUCUAGUCUAGGAUGACACUUUCCCACUAGAGAGACCUCAGGGGGGACUUGGGGCCUUCUGAGUUGUGGGAGCUCCUGGUUACUCAUCAGGGAGUCUUAUUGUCCAAAUGAAAUAAAACCAGAGUCAUGUGUGAUUAAAACAUUUCUAGUAGCAGUUUUAGAAGUUCCUAGAAGUUUGAGACCCUGGCUUACUGACACUGACACUCUUAUCACCCAAUGCCGUGUACACAGGAGGUGCUCAAUGCACACACAUGCUCACACACGUGCAUGUGACAUAUUUGAACCAAAAGUUGCCUGUGGUUUUCCUUACAGGAUUCCUUCUAGAAGUCCUGAGAGUUUCCUAAAUAUUCCCUGGUGGUCCUAUACACUUCCCUACUCCUGGGUUACUUUGGAGAUGACUAGAGAAGUCCCCCUGUGCAUGUGGGCUCUGCAAGAAAUUAGACUCUGGGCACAAAGGAGAAAGAAAUUCAGUGGAAGACAUGAAAGCUAGAGUUAUUUUAUCAGGCUCUGGCAGGGCAUCAGUCUUUAGAUGUGAACUGGCAGGGUGGGGGGGAGGAGGACUAGGGUGCUGGCGUAUCAGAGACAGGAGUAAAAGCAACUGCUUAGCUUUGAAUGCAUGUCUAUAGCAAAAAGUGUGAGGGGGGCUGGAGUGGCUGGCCCAUCCUGUUCUCUGAUUGGCUCUCCCUCAGCAUUCUGGAAUUUGGGGGGGGGGCUGUGGUGAAGAUGGAGAAGUUGGCAAAAUUGUAGCUGAUGACCAGCUGGAAGGGAGCCACUGGGCAGGAUUCAAAUCACCCUGGCCAGCUUGACUUCUGGUCUUGAUCCAAAGCAGUGACGUAUGGCAGGAUACACAUCCAGCCCUUGGGUUACAAACAUUCUGCAUGCCAGUGAUGGUCGGGGAGGAAACUCGUAUAUAAAAUACUACUGGAUUUCAGGUGACCCCAAGCUCUUUACAAGUCAGUGGUGUCACACUUCUGCUGGGACACCACUUUAUUGCUUUUAUUUUAAUUUUUAUUUGAUUGGAUAGAGACAGAGAAAUUGAGAGAGAAGGGAAGACAGAGGGAGAGAGACAGAGAAACAUCUGCAGCCCUGCUUCACCACUUGGGAAACUGUCAUCGUGCAGGUAGGGACCAGGGGCUUGAACUCAGGUCCCUGUGUACUGUAGUGUGUGUGCUCAACCAGUUGCACCACAACCUGGUCCCAAGGGACACCACUUUAGAGUUGCCAUUAAUUAAAUGUCAUGGGAUGAGGGGAGGUAUAGAUGUUCAGUGUUCAGGAGAAGGGGGCUUUGUGCCAGAACAGGCCAUGCAAGGGAAGGAAGAUUCAAUUUAAGGUGAAGGUGUGUAUAUGUGUGUGUGUAAGGAUGCUAUUUCUCUCUUGGGAAUGAUGACUUUCUUCUUCUUUUUUUUUUUAAUGUUUAUCUGUCGGAUAGAGACAGUCAGAAAUUGAGAGGGAAGGGGAUGGUAGAGAGAGAGAGAGAUAGAGAGACACCUGCAGCACUGCUUCACCACUUGUGAAGCUUUCCCCCUGCAGGUGGGGACCAGGGGCUCGAACCUGGGCCCUUGCACACUGUAACAUGUGUACUCAACCCAGUGUGCCACCACCUGGCCCCCAAUGACGACUUUCUAAGUUGUUACCAGACCCUUGUGUUUUCGUGUGAAUGAAUUUUAGAUCCUUAGCCAACAGAAUUUCUUACUGAUAGAGCCUUGAAGCUUAGGGAGUAAGGAGGGCAGAUGUUGGUAGAAGGAGAAAGACUCUUAAAAAAAAAGGGUUUGCUGAGAGAAAACUCUUUAUUGUAUUUACCUCACAUUGCGGUGAGGUAGGUCCUAUGAUUAUCAGGGGCAGAAAAGCAUCUCAGAGGUUAACUCCUACCAGAUCACACAGCUAGUAAAUGCCAAAACUGGACUUGAACUCAGGUCUGUUCAACUCAGUUCAUGCACUUGGUCACUAGAAUAGCUUUCUCAAUGUACCUUCCUAGAGCAAAACCCAGAUGGAUAAGUUUCCAAAGUGCCCUGGCCUCAGGAUACCCAGCUAACCUCUCUGUCUCUUUCUCUUUGUGUCUGUCUGUCUCCCCUUUCCUUUGCCUCUUUUUGUGAAGGGAGGUUUUCCCUUCUUCUCUUUCACCCUUUGGCUGUGUGACCUUCUGGACCUCAUCCUCACCUCUAGUCUGUCUUUUUAUCUCUCCCUCCCUGAGCCUAUGCUGGUCUCUCCACAGGACCCUCCAGUGGACAUGGGUAGGGCGUUGGGUCCUGCUCUGCUGCUCACUUCACUGCUCGGGGUCUGGGCCGUGCCAGGCCCAGGGCAGGGCCAGCAGUCCGUGACUGUAGCUGUGGUGUUCGGGGGCUCGGGGCCUCCACAGACACAGGCCCGUACCCGCCUUACCCCCCAGAGCUUCCUGGACCUGCCUCUGGAUAUCCAGCCACUCACUGUGGGGGUCAACAACACCAACCCCAGCAGCCUCCUCACUCAGAUCUGUGGUCUUCUGGGCACUGCCCAUGUCCAUGGCAUCGUCUUUGAGGACAACGUGGGUACCGAAGCAGUGGCCCAGAUCCUUGACUUCAUCUCUUCUCAGACUCACGUUCCUAUCCUGAGCAUCAGUGGAGGUUCUGCUGUGGUCCUCACUCCCAAGGAGCCGGGUUCCGCCUUCCUGCAGCUGGGCGUGUCCCUGGAGCAGCAGCUGCAGGUGCUGUUCAAGGUGCUGGAGGAAUAUAACUGGAGCGCCUUCGCUGUCAUCACCAGCCUGCACCCGGGCCACGCGCUGUUCCUGGAGGGCGUGCGCGCCGCGGCGGAGGCCAGCUACCUGGGCUGGCGGCUGCUGGACGUGCUCACGCUGGAGCUGGGCCCCGGGGGCGCGCGCACACACAUCCGGCGCCUGCUGCGCUCCAUCGAUGCGCCCGUGCUGGUGGCCUACUGCUCGCACGAGGAGGCGGAGGUGCUCUUCGCCGAGGCGGCGCAGGCCGGCCUGGUGGGGCCCGGGCACGUGUGGCUAGUGCCCAACCUAGCGCUGGGCAGCACGGACGCGCCCCCGGCCGCCUUCCCCGUCGGCCUCAUCAGCGUUGUGACCGAGAGCUGGCGCCUCAGCCUGCGCCAGAAAGUCCGCGACGGAGUGGCCAUUCUGGCCUUGGGAGCUUAUGGCUACCGGCGCCAGCACGGUGUCCUGCCCAUCCCAGCUGGGGACUGCCGAGGCCACCCCGGGCCGGUCAGCCCCGCCCGAGAGGCCUUUUACAGGCAUCUCCUGAAUGUCACCUGGGAGGGCCGAGACUUCUCUUUCAGUCCUGGUGGGUACCUGGUCCAGCCCACCAUGGUUGUGAUCGCCCUCAACCGGCACCGCCUAUGGGAGAUGGUGGGGCGCUGGGACCACGGCAUCCUCCACAUGAAGUACCCAGUGUGGCCUCGCUACAGUGCCUCCCUGCAGCCCGUGGUGGACAGCCGGCACCUGACAGUGGCCACGCUGGAGGAGCGGCCCUUUGUCAUUGUGGAGAGCCCUGACGCCAACACAGGCGGCUGCGUACCCAACACAGUGCCAUGCCGCAGGCAGAGCAAUCACACCUUCAGCAGCGGUGAUGUGGCCCCCUAUACCAAGCUUUGCUGUAAGGGCUUCUGCAUCGACAUCCUCAAGAAACUGGCCAAAGUGGUCAAGUUCUCCUAUGACCUGUACCUGGUGACCAAUGGCAAGCACGGCAAGAGGGUGCGCGGCGUGUGGAACGGCAUGAUUGGUGAGGUGUACUACAAGCGGGCAGACAUGGCCAUCGGCUCCCUCACCAUCAACGAGGAGCGCUCAGAGAUCGUGGACUUCUCCGUGCCCUUCGUGGAGACGGGCAUCAGCGUGAUGGUGGCCCGCAGCAAUGGCACCGUCUCCCCCUCGGCCUUCUUGGAGCCCUACAGCCCAGCAGUGUGGGUGAUGAUGUUUGUCAUGUGUCUCACUGUGGUGGCCAUCACUGUCUUCAUGUUCGAGUACUUCAGCCCCGUCAGCUACAACCAGAACCUCACCAGUGGCAAGAAGUCUGGGGGUCCAUCCUUCACCAUCGGCAAGUCUGUGUGGCUGCUCUGGGCGCUGGUCUUCAACAACUCAGUGCCCAUCGAGAAUCCCCGGGGCACCACCAGCAAGAUCAUGGUCUUGGUCUGGGCCUUCUUUGCUGUCAUCUUCCUUGCCAGCUACACCGCCAACCUGGCUGCCUUCAUGAUCCAGGAGCAGUACAUUGACACUGUGUCUGGCCUAAGUGACAAGAAGUUUCAGCGGCCUCAGGACCAGUACCCGCCCUUCCGGUUUGGCACGGUACCCAAUGGCAGCACAGAAAGGAACAUCCGCAGCAACUACCGGGACAUGCACACCCACAUGGUCAGGUUCAACCAGCGCUCAGUGGAGGAUGCACUCACCAGCCUCAAGAUGGGGAAGUUGGAUGCCUUCAUCUAUGAUGCUGCUGUCCUCAACUACAUGGCAGGAAAGGAUGAGGGCUGCAAGCUGGUCACUAUUGGCUCUGGCAAGGUCUUUGCUACAACUGGCUAUGGCAUUGCCAUGCAGAAGGACUCCCACUGGAAGCGGGCCAUAGACCUGGCGCUCCUGCAAUUCCUAGGGGACGGGGAGACACAGAAAUUGGAGACAGUGUGGCUGUCUGGGAUCUGCCAGAAUGAGAAAAAUGAGGUGAUGAGCAGCAAGCUGGACAUUGACAACAUGGCUGGUGUCUUCUAUAUGCUGCUGGUGGCCAUGGGGCUGGCUCUGCUGGUCUUCGCCUGGGAGCACCUGGUCUAUUGGAAGCUGCGCCACUCGGUGCCCAACACCUCCCGGCUGGACUUCCUGUUGGCCUUCAGCAGGGGCAUAUAUAGCUGCUUCAGCGGGGUGCAGAGCCUGGCCAGCCCAGGACGACCGCCCAGCCCGGACCUCACCGCCAGCUCGGCCCAGGCCAGCGUGCUGAAGAUGCUGCAGGCGGCGCGGGACAUGGUGAGCACUGCGGGCGUGAGCAGCUCCCUGGACCGCGCCACACGCACCGUGGAGAGCUGGGGCGGCGUUCGCCGGUCAACCCCGCCGCCUGGCUGCUCGGGCCUGCGGCCCUGCACACCUGGCCCGCCUCCGGAGUCGAACCCCCAGGGCUGGGCACCUCCAUGCCGGGGCCGCGCCGCGCCGGGACGCAGGGCCCCGAAGCCCCGGGGCUGCCCCCAGACGCCCGAGCCGCCCUUGCCGGACGUCUCCCGAGUGCCUGGGCGCCCCAGGUGCGAGACACGGUGGCCCGAGCGGGUGGUGCGCGGUGGGCGCCACCUCUCGGCCUCCGAGCGGCGCGCGCUCCCGGAGUGCCCCCUGUCCCCCGAAUGCUGCCACUACAGUUCCUUUCCUCGAGCCAACCGGUCGGGGCGCCCCUUCCUCCCUCUCUUCCCGGAGCCUCCAGAGCCGGACAACCUUCCACUGCUCGGCCCGGAGCAGCUGGCCCGACGGGAGGCGCUGCUGCGCGCAGCCUGGGCUCGGGGGCCGCGCCCGCGCCACGCGUCGCUGCCCAGCUCCGUGGCCGAGGCCUUCGCCCGACCCGCCUCGCUGCCCUCCAGCUGUGGCCGCUCGUCCUGCGGGCGCCUGGCGCAGGCACAGUCCAUGCGACUGCCGUCCUACCGGGAGGCCUGCCUGGAGGGCUUGUGGGCAGGAGCCCCCGCCUGUCCGCACAGACAGCACGCCUGCCUCCACGCCCAUCUGCCGCUCUGCUGGGGGGCUGUCUGCCCUCACCUCCCACCCUGUGCCAGCCACGGCCACUGGCUCUCUGGGGCGUGGGGGCCUCGGGAGCACAGGGCCAGGACCCUGGGGCUGAGCAGCACAAGCUACAGAGACAGCGGGGGCCGGGAAGAGCUCAGCAGGGUGACCUGUGGCAUGCACAGUUUCUCGGGAUCUUGCACCUGGAGGCGCAUCUCCAGCUUGGAGUCAGAGGUCUGAAGCCUUGGCCAUGCCGUUCGGGGGUUGUCGGAACAGGUGGGCUGGGGUUUCUCUGGCUUCUGCGGUGAAAUCCUGGCCCUGGGACAGCCUGUGAGCCCAGCAGUCUUGAAUUCUGGUGUGGGCUGGGCUCUUGUAGUCUCCGUAUCAGCCGAAACCAUUCCCCUUUGGACCUGGACUCACAGGCUGCAGUGGGGUCAGACCUGCAAGGCCUUCCCUGUCCCUGGCUGGCCAAUUCCCUGUAACAGUGGAAGAAGCUGUGGGAGCACAGAGACUGGCCCGGGGGGUUGGGGCAGGGCAGGCCUUACUGCUCCUUGCUCCACCCACUGGAGUUUCUUCUCCAUGGAGCACUGGUCAUUAAAUACUCCUUUUCCAACCUACUA